rnacentral:rRNA from 1 species
CCUACGGGAGGCAGCAGUGGGGGAUAUUGCACAAUGGCCGAAACGCUGAUGCAGCGACGCCGCGUGAGGGAAGACGGUCUUCGGAUUGUUAAACUCUGUCUUUGGGGAAGAAAAUGACGGUACCCAAAGAGGAAGCUCCGGCUAAUUACGUGACAGCAGCCGCGGUAAUACGGAGGGCGCGAGCGUUGUCCGGAAUUACCGGGUGUAAGGGGAGCGUAGUCGGGAGAGAGAGUGGAAUGUUAAAUCUACCGGCUUAACUGGUACGUGCGUUCAAAACUUCUUGUCUUGAGUGAAGUAGAGGCAGGCGGAAUGCCUAGUGUAGCGGUGAAAUGCGUAGAUAUUAGGAGGAACACCAGUGGCGAAGGCGGCCUGCUGGGCUUUAACUGACGCUGAGGCUCGAAAGCGUGGGGAGCAAACAGGAUUAGAUACCCGUGUAGUC